GAUAGCUUCAGGUUGAGGCAGAUCGACGAGGAACCAUGGAAACUGGCACAGAUCGGGCUAAUCGAAGAAGAAGAACAGCGGAUAACUUACAAUAGAGGCAAACCCUAGAUUGAUUGGUUUGAUCGGUGAACAUUCUAGGGUUGGGGAUUUGGGCCGUUUUGAUCGGUGGAGAGAAAGGAUUCAAUGCUUGAAUCGAUAGAAUGGAACAAAAAGAGGUUUUAAUCGGGCAAAAGUGAAGAUUUAAUCGGUGAAAAAUGGAUUCUAUGAUGGAUUAGGCUGAGGUAAGGGAGAAAUGUACAGGAGGAUGAAGAUCUAGAUACUAACCGUGGCUGGCAGAUUAAAAUCUGAGGCGGAGGAACUCGAAAUAUGGAUCAGAGAUGAGCGAAGGUUCGAGAGAAAAAUAAAUGUGUGCGGUGGAUCUCUAUAGAGAAUGGCUAAGUAAGAUGUGGUUCGCAUAUGAGGAAGCGUCACAGGCAUUAACGAAGGGCUAAAGGCCCUCAGAAAUAUCUAGAGAAUGGCUAAAUGAAGAUGUGGUGCACAUAUGAAGAGGCAUCGCAGACAUUACCGAAGGACAAAAGACCCUCGGAAAUAAGCCUUCAAUAAUAAGCACUUUUAUUGUGGUGAAAGGAAGAGAUAUUAUUGGAACAAGGAUAAUUCAGCUUGUUGGACAGUGCUCUUAUGCUACCAUUCAACUCCCUCUCCACUCCUUAAAAUGCUACCUUGGUAGAGAUGGUUACUAGGCUUUGAAAAAGUGGCUAGAAAACAACACUAAAUGAAUUAUCCAAAACAAAUUUAAAAAAAUAGGAAGGUAUAGAUUAAACCUUGGAAUAC
rnacentral:lncRNA from 1 species